GCCGAUGUGGCGGAACAGGCAGACGCACAGGACUUAAAAUCCUGCGGUUGAAUAAACCAUACCGGUUCGAUCCCGGUCAUCGGCACCA
rnacentral:tRNA from 1 species